AUGGAAACGUGUGUGGGCCUAUCAGCCCUGCAACCGAUGGCGGUCGUCGCUAUUUCCUGCUGCUGGUUGAUGACUGCACCAUUGUUUCAAUUCAGCGAGUCCAAGCGGUGGCUGAAGCAGAGUGUGGACGGCCAUUCCAUAUCUUCCGCACCUAUCAGCCCUGCAACCGAUGACGGUCGUCGCUAUUUCCUGCUGCUGGUUGAUGACUGCACACCGUUGCUUCAAUUCAGCGAGUCCAAGCGGUGGCUGAAGCAGAGUGUGGACGGCCAUUCCAUGUCUUCCGCACCACAGUGGCGGCGAAUUCACCUCGUUGGAGUUUGCACACCAUUGUGA
rnacentral:rRNA from 1 species